rnacentral:rRNA from 1 species
CCUACGGGGGGCAGCAGUGGGGAAUAUUGGGCAAUGGGCGCAAGCCUGACCCAGCAAUGCCGCGUGAAGGAAGAAGGCUUUCGGGUUGUAAACCUCUUUGACAGGGGAAGAGCAGAAGACGGUACCCUGAAAACAAGCCACGGCUAACUACGUGCCAGCAGCCGCUGUAAUACGGAGGUGGCAAGCUUUGUCCGGAUUUACUGGGUGUAAAGGACGUGUAGCCGGGAAGGCAAGUCCGAUGUGAAAUCUGGAGGCUCAACCUCCAAAGUGCAUUUGAAACUGUUUUUCUUGAGUACUGGAGAGGCAGACGGAAUUCCUUGUGUAGCGGUGAAAUGCGUAGAUAUAAGGAGGAACACCAGUGGCGAAGGCGGUCUGCUGGACAGCAACUGACGGUGAGGCGCGAAAGCGUGGGGAGCAAACAGGAUUAGAUACCCGGGUAGUC